CCUACGGGUGGCAGCAGUGAGGAAUAUUGGUCAAUGGACGAGAGUCUGAACCAGCCAAGUAGCGUGAAGGAUGACUGCCCUAUGGGUUGUAAACUUCUUUUAUAUGGGAAUAAAAUGUUCCACGUGUGGGAUUUUGUAUGUACCAUAUGAAUAAGGAUCGGCUAACUCCGUGCCAGCAGCCGCGGUACUACGGAGGAUCCGAGCGUUAUCCGGAUUUAUUGGGUUUAAAGGGAGCGUAGGUGGAUUGUUAAGUCAGUUGUGAAAGUUUGCGGCUCAACCGUAAAAUUGCAGUUGAAACUGGCAGUCUUGAGUACAGUAGAGGUGGGCGGAAUUCGUGGUGUAGCGGUGAAAUGCUUAGAUAUAACGAAGAACUCCGAUUGCGAAGGCAGUUCACUGGACUGCAACUGACACUGAGGCUCGAAAGUGUGGGUAUCAAACAGGAUUAGAUACCCCAGUAGUC
rnacentral:rRNA from 1 species